UACGGAGGAUCCGAGCGUUAUCCGGAUUUAUUGGGUUUAAAGGGUGCGCAGGCGGGAGAUUAAGUCGGCGGUGAAAUUUUGCAGCUCAACUGUAAAAGUGCCUUCGAAACUGGUUUCCUUGAGUGUAGAUGAAGUAGGCGGAAUUUGUGGUGUAGCGGUGAAAUGCAUAGAUAUCACGAGGAACUCCGAUUGCGAAGGCAGCUUACUAAGCUACUACUGACGCUCAGGCACGAAGGCGUGGGGAUCAAACAGGAUUAGAUACCCGCGUAGU
rnacentral:rRNA from 1 species